rnacentral:SRP_RNA from 1 species
UUAGGGUAAGUCCUAUACGACCAGCUCCCUCUGAAUUCCCCCAGGUCUUGACCGAAGCAAGGGUAGGAGGUUGUAGCGGUGCGAUAUAGUCCGCUUACCCU